rnacentral:rRNA from 1 species
GACGAACGCUGGCGGCGUGCUUAACACAUGCAAGUCGAACGGAAAGGCCCUGCUUUUGUGGGGUGCUCGAGUGGCGAACGGGUGAGUAACACGUGAGUAACCUGCCCUUGACUUUGGGAUAACUUCAGGAAACUGGGGCGAAUACCGGAUAUGAGCUCCUGCUGCAUGGUGGGGGUUGGAAAGUUUCGGCGGUUGGGGAUGGACUCGCGGCUUAUCAGCUUGUUGGUGGGGUAGGGGCUUUCCAAGGCUUUGACGGGUAGCCGGCCUGAGAGGGUGACCGGCCACAUUGGGACUGAGGUACGGCCCAGACUCCUACGGGAGGCAGCAGUGGGGAAUAUGGCACAAUGGGCGGAAGCCUGAUGCAGCAACGCCGCGUGCGGGAUGACGGCCUUCGGGUUGUAAACCGCUUUCGACUGUGACGAAGCGGGAGUGACGGUAAUGGGUCAAGAAGCACCGGCUAACUACGUG